UGACACAUUACAUCAUUGUCAUUCAUUAUCACCUUUCAAGUGUCACAGAAAUGGGGAGGGGUGGGUGGUGAAGAACUCCUGGAGAGGGAGAGAAUCUGAGAGACUGUUUCAGGAAGAACAAGACUAGCUGAUGUGGCUCAGCAGGGGAACAGAAGGGGGCUACCAAGAUGUUGAAGAAAGGAGAAACGUGACUGGCUCAGCAAGGAUAGAGAACUUUAUCAAAGUCACCUCCACCAACAAGGACAAGAAUCAGAGCACCUGGCUUCCACUGAAAGACAGACACAACCCAAGGGACCUGGGAACUACAUUUGAGCAUAGAGCUGAGUUUCAUAAAGUUGAUUUCCUGAAAGAACAUUCUAUCUACUUCUCCAUCAGAAGGUUAUUGAGACACAAUUGGGUAGCACUAUUGUUUACAUUGUAA
rnacentral:lncRNA from 13 species